UAGUCCACGCCGUAAACGAUGGAUGCUAGGUGUCGGGAUCGUAUGAUUUCGGUGCCGUAGCUAACGUAUUAAGCAUCCCGCCUGGGGAGUACGGUCGCAAGAUUAAAACUCAAAGGAAUUGACGGGGACCCGCACAAGCGGUGGAGCAUGUGGUUUAAUUCGAGGCAACGCGAAGAACCUUACCAGCCCUUGACAUCUCGAUCGCGGAUCUAAGAGAUUAGAUCCUUCAGCUUGGCUGGAUCGGUGACAGGUGCUGCAUGGCUGUCGUCAGCUCGUGUCGUGAGAUGUUGGGUUAAGUCCCGCAACGAGCGCAACCCUCGCCCUUUGUUACCAGCGGUUCGGCCGGGUACUCUAAGGGACUGCCGGUGUCAAGCCGGAGGAAGGUGGGAUGACGUCAAGUCUUCAUGGCCCUUAUGGGGCUGGGGCUACACACGUGCUACAAUGGCAGUGACAAUGGGGCAGCGACCUCGUGAGAGGGAAGCUAAUCUCUAAAAACUGACCUC
rnacentral:rRNA from 1 species